rnacentral:rRNA from 1 species
GAUAGUAUAUGCUUGUCUCAAAGAUUAAGACAUGCAUGUGUAAUAUGAACGAAUUCAGACUGUGAAACUGGAAUGGACUCGUAUUAAUAACAGUUAUAUGUAUUGUUUGAUGGUAACUACUAGACAUGGAUAAAGCCGUAGUAAUUCUAGAGCUAAUACGUGAACAAACUCCGACUUCUGAAGGGAUGUAUAUUAAUUAGUAUAAAAAGGUCGACGCGGGCUUGCCAGUUGCUCUGAUGAAUUCAUGAUAACUCGACGGAGUCGCAUGGCCUUAGUGCUGAGCGACGCAUCAUUCAAAUUAUCUGCCUAUCAACUUUCGAUGGUAGGAUAGUGGCCUACAUAUGGUGGUAACGGGAUGACGGAGAAUUAGGGAUCGAUUUCGGAGAGGGAGCCUGAGAAAACGGCUACCACAUCAAGAAGGCAGCAGGCGACGCGCAAAUUCCACAAUCCUGACACGGGGAGGUAGUGACAUAAUAACAAUACCGGAUGUCUUGAGUCUGGUAAUUGGAAUGAUGAUACUCUAAUCCCUUUACGAGGAUUCCCAUUGGGGACAAGUCUUGGUGCCGCAGCCAGCGAGUAAUUCCGCUCCGAAUAGCGUAUAUUAAAGUUGUUGCAGUUAAAAGUCUCGUAGUUGAACCUUGGGAUGGGUCGUCCUCGGUCCGCUCUUUGGUUGAGUCCCACGGUCGGUGCUUUCUCUUCUGUCGGCGAUACGCUCCAUGGACCUUAACGUGGGCCGUUGUCGUGCCUCCGGCGCUGUUUACUCUUGAAGAAAUUAGAUGUGUCUCGGCCCAAAGGCAUCCUAUCGCCUCUUUCUGUAUACACAUUUAACAUAAGGAUAUACAUCAUAUGGAUUUCGGAUCCUAUUGGUGUUUGGCCUUUCGGGAUCGGAAGUAAUAUGGGAUAACAGGGUUACAGUCGGGGGAUUUCGUAUUUCAUAGUCAGAGGUGAAUUCUUGGAUUUAUGAAAGACGAACAACUGCGAAAGCAAUUGCCAAGGAUGUUUUCAUAAUCAAGAACGAGAUAUUGGGGGCUGUGCGAGAAGACGAUCAGUACCGUGCUAGUCUCAACCAUAACGAUGCGACCAGGGAUCAGCGGAUGUUGCUUUUUAGGACUCGCUUGGAACCUUAUUGAGAAAAUCAAAGUUUUUUGGGUUCCGGGGGAGAUGAGUUGGUCGCAAGCUGAAACUUAAAGGAAUUGACGGAAGGGCACACCAGGAGUGUAGCCUGCGGCUUAAUUUGACUCAAACGGGGAAAACUUACCAGGUCAGACAUAGUAAGGAUUGACAAAUGAGAGCUCUUUCUUAGAUUACUAUGGGUGGUGGUGCAUUGGCGUUCUUAGUUGGAUGGAGAGAUUUGUCUGGUUGAGGUUCAUUCCGGUUAACGAACGAGGCUCAGCCUGCUUACUAGUAGUGGAGGCAUCCCUUUCACGGCGGCUUCUUAGAAAGGACUAUGGCCGUUUAGGCCAAGGAAGUUUGAGGAAUAACAGGUAUGUGAUGCUCUUAGAUGUUCUGGGCGCGCGCGCGCUACACUGAUGUGUCAACGAGUUCACACUCUUAGCCGACAGGCCCGGGUAAACUUUGAAAUUCAUCUGAUGGGGAUAGAUCAUUGCAAUUGUUGGUCUUCAACGAAGGAAUUCCUAGUAAGCCGACGUCAUCAGCUCGCGUUAGACUACGUCCCUGCCCUUUGUACAACCGCCCGUCGCUCGUAACGAUUGAAUGAUCGGUGAAGUGUUCGGAUCCGGCGACGGUGGGUGGUUCGCCGUCUCAGCGUGCGAGAAGUCCAACUAAAGCCUUAUCAUUUAAGGGAAGGAGAAGUCGUAACAAGGUUUCGUAGGUGAGCCUGCCGGAA